GCCCAGAUGUCUUCCUUGCCUUUAAACCACUGCUUGUUCAGAUGGCCAUAGUCCCACUGACCUGCAUGUCAUUGUUAAUGCAAAAAUGUGGAUGGAGAAAAAAAAAAAAAAAGGGAGGGGGCAUCCACAUUUAACACCUGCUCUCCCAGAGCUACCGCCUUCUCGCUGCAAUAGCCUGGCAGUGAAGGGGUGGAUGCCAUCUCUCUGUAACCCCCCUCACCCCCCUUCUCUCCCC